UAAUUUAUAUUUUUAUUAUAUGCUAAUUUUUGUAUAAAAAUUUAUUUAAAUAAUAAAUUUAAUAAAAUUUUUAUUUUUAAUGCAAUAUUUAAAUUUUUAUAAUAAAAGAAAUUUUGAUAAAGAAAUAUAUAAUGGUAUUGGUAAAAUUUGUGCCAGCAAUCGCGGUUAAACAGGUGAUACAAUUAAAUUUUUUCUAAUAGAUAAUAAAUAUAGUAUAAAAAUAUUAAUUUAAAAUUAAAUUUAAUAAGUGAAAUUAUAAAUUUAAAUAAAAUUAAUAAAAAGAUUAUAAAAUUAUGAAACUUUACUAUUAAACUAGGAUUAGAUACCCUAUUAUACAGAGUGUAAAAUAAAAAUAUUAGAGUAGUAUCAGUUAUGUUCUUGAAAUUUAAAAGAUUUGGCGGUAUUUUAGUCUUUUCAGAGGAACCUGUUCUAUAAUUGAUGAUCCACGAUUAAUUGUACUUAAUUUAUUAGUUUAUAUAUCGUCGUAGGUUGAAUAUCUUAUAAGAGAUAAAAUAUUCAUAAUUUAUUAUGUUUUAUAAUAAAGGAAAUCAGAUCAAGGUGUAGUUUAUAAUUAAGAAGAAAUGGGUUACAAUAAAUUUAUUUAUAAUGAAUAUAAUAUUUAAAAUUAUUAUUGAAGGUGGAUUUGAAAGUAAUAUAUUUAAUUUAAAAUAUAUGAUUUUAGCUCUAAAAUAUGUACAUAUCGCCCGUCGCUUUCAUUGAAAUUUAAAGUGAAAUAAGUCGUAACAUAGUGGGUGUACCGGAAGGUGUACCUAGGUUGAU
rnacentral:ncRNA from 1 species